GAUGAACGCUAGCGGCAGGCUUAAUACAUGCAAGUCGAGGGGCAGCACAGGUAGCAAUACUGGGUGGCGACCGGCAAACGGGUGCGGAACACGUACACAACUUACCUUCUGGUGGGGGAUAGCCUUUGGAAACGGAGAUUAAUACCCCAUAUUAUAUAUGAGCUGCAUGGUUUGUAUAUUAAAGAUUUAUUGCCGGAAGAUGGGUGUGCGUAUGAUUAGGUAGUUGGCGGGGUAACGGCCCACCAAGCCGACGAUCAUUAACUGGUGUGAGAGCACGACCCGUCACGCGGGAACGGAGACACGGGCCCGACUCCUACGGGAGGCAGCAGUAAGGAAUAUUGGUCAAUGGACGGAAGUCUGAACCAGCCAUGCCGCGUGGAGGAUGAAGGUCCUCUGGAUUGUAAACUUCUUUUAUAGGGCGCGAAAAAAGGGAAUUCUUUCUCGUCUGACGGUACCCUAUGAAUAAGCACCGGCUAACUCCGUGCCAGCAGCCGCCGUAAUAC
rnacentral:rRNA from 1 species